AGAGUUUGAUCAUGGCUCAGGAUGAACGCUAGCGGCAGGCCUAAUACAUGCAAGUCGAACGGGGUGUUGUAACAAUACAACAUUUAGCGGCGCACGGGUGCGUAACGCGUAUGCAACCUACCUUAAACUGGGGGAUAGCCUUCCGAAAGGGAGAUUAAUACCGCAUAAUACUAUUUGAUGGCAUCUGAAGAUAGUUAAAGAUUUAUUGGUUUAAGAUGGGCAUGCGUGCCAUUAGCUAGUUGGUGAGGUAACGGCUCACCAAGGCUACGAUGGCUAGGGGUUCUGAGAGGAUGAUCCCCCACACUGGUACUGAGAUACGGACCAGACUCCUACGGGAGGCAGCAGUAGGGAAUAUUGGGCAAUGGACGCAAGUCUGACCCAGCCAUGCCGCGUGCAGGAUGAAGGCCUUCUGGGUUGUAAACUGCUUUUAUCUAGGAAGAAAACGCCCAUGCGUGGGAAACUGACGGUACUAGAUGAAUAAGCACCGGCUAACUCCGUGCCAGCAGCCGCGGUAAUACGGAGGGUGCAAGCGUUGUCCGGAUUUAUUGGGUUUAAAGGGUGCGUAGGCGGCCCGGUAAGUCAGUGGUGAAAGCCUCCAGCUCAACUGGAGAACUGCCAUUGAUACUGCCGGGCUUGAGUACAGACGAGGUUGGCGGAAUUGAUUGUGUAGCGGUGAAAUGCAUAGAUACAAUCAAGAACUCCGAUUGCGUAGGCAGCUAACUAGGCUGUAACUGACGCUGAGGCACGAAAGCGUGGGGAGCGAACAGGAUUAGAUACCCUGGUAGUCCACGCUGUAAACGAUGAUUACUCGAUGUUGGCGAUAAACUGUCAGCGUCUUAGCGAAAGCGUUAAGUAAUCCACCUGAGGAGUACGCCCGCAAGGGUGAAACUCAAAUGAAUUGACGG
rnacentral:rRNA from 1 species